AGGUUAAUUUCCCUCAAGCUAGGAAGAUUGUAUUGAGUAAAAUUCACCAAUAUAUCAAAGACCGCCUUUUGGAUGCCAAAUAUGCACGUGCUUUCUUAUUGAACAUAUUUGGAUCCAAACCAAACAACUUUGCAGAGGAUAAACAGAACUUGGCCGACAUUAUUCAAAUGCACCACCAGUUGAAGGCACGACAACUUUCUUCACAAUCAAAUGCAAAUUCCUUGGCCACUUACCCUGAGUACAUUCUUCCAUACCUAGUUCAUACACUUGCUCACAAUUCAUGUCAAGAUGUUGAUGAGUGCAAGGAGUUUGGAGCAUAUGAUGAUAUAUACCGGCAGUUUCACUUAAUACUUUCAAUGCUACUGCAAAGAGAUGAAGAUGUCAAGUCAGAAGU